UACGUAGGGUGCAAGCGUUAAUCGGAAUUACUGGGCGUAAAGCGUGCGCAGGCGGUUCUAUAAGACAGAUGUGAAAUCCCCGGGCUACAACCUGGGAACUGCAUUUGUGACUGUAGAGCUGGAGUGCGGCAGAGGGGGAUGGAAUUCCGCGUGUAGCAGUGAAAUGCGUAGAUAUGCGGAGGAACACCGAUGGCGAAGGCAAUCCCCUGGGCCUGCACUGACGCUCAUGCACGAAAGCGUGGGGAGCAAACAGG
rnacentral:rRNA from 1 species